GAAGUCGACGGUAACAUUGAUGCUUGCAUCAGAUGACGAGUGGCGCACGGGCUGAGUAACGCGUAUACAAUCUACCUUUUACAGGGGGAUAGCCUUUAGAAAUGAAGAUUAAUAUCCCAUAGUAAGUAGUUUUGGCAUCAAGACAACUUUAAAGUUUCGGCGGUAAAAGAUGAGUAUGCGUUCUAUUAGUUAGUUGGUAAGGUAACGGCUUACCAAGACCACGAUAGAUAGGGGCCCUGAGAGGGGGAUCCCCCACACUGGUACUGAGACACGGACCAGACUCCUACGGGAGGCAGCAGUGAGGAAUAUUGGACAAUGGGCGCGAGCCUGAUCCAGCCAUGCCGCGUGCAGGAAGACUGCCCUAUGGGUUGUAAACUGCUUUUAUACAGGAAGAAACCUUUUCACGUGUGAAAAGCUGACGGUACUGUAAGAAUAAGGAUCGGCUAACUCCGUGCCAGCAGCCGCGGUAAUACGGAGGAUCCAAGCGUUAUCCGGAAUCAUUGGGUUUAAAGGGUCCGUAGGUGGAUAAUUAAGUCAGGGGUGAAAGUUUGCAGCUCAACUGUAAAAUUGCCUUUGAUACUGGUUAUCUUGAAUUAUUGUGAAGUGGUUAGAAUAUGUAGUGUAGCGGUGAAAUGCAUAGAUAUUACAUAGAAUACCAAUUGCGAAGGCAGAUCACUAACAAUAUAUUGACACUGAUGGACGAAAGCGUGGGGAGCGAACAGGAUUAGAUACCCUGGUAGUCCACGCCGUAAACGAUGGAUACUAGCUGUUCGGUUUUCGGACUGAGUGGCUAAGCGAAAGUGAUAAGUAUCCCACCUGGGGAGUACGUUCGCAAGAAUGAAACUCAAAGGAAUUGA
rnacentral:rRNA from 2 species